GAACGCGAAAGUUCCCUUCGGGGAGCGAGUAGAGUGGCGCACGGGUGAGUAACACGUAGGUAAUCUACCUUUGGAUGGGGAAUAACAACCGGAAACGGUUGCUAAUACCGCAUAAUGCAGCGGCACCUAAUGGUGACAGUUGUUAAAGCGGGGGAUCGCAAGACCUCGCGUCUGAAGAGGAGCCUGCGGCGGAUUAGCUAGUUGGUAAGGUAAUGGCUUACCAAGGCUACGAUCCGUAACCGGCCUGAGAGGGCGGUCGGUCACACUGACACUGACAUACGGGUCAGACUCCUACGGGAGGCAGCAGUCGGGAAUUUUGGGCAAUGGGCGAAAGCCUGACCCAGCAACGCCGCGUGAAGGAUGAAAUCCCUCGGGAUGUAAACUUCGCAAGAACGGGAAGAAUAAGCGAGAGUUAAUAUCUUUCGUGAUGACGGUACCGUUUGUAAGCUCCGGCUAACUCCGUGCCAGCAGCCGCGGUAAUACGGGGGGAGCAAGCGUUGUUCGGAUUUACUGGGCGUAAAGGGCGCGUAGGCGGUCAGCACAG
rnacentral:rRNA from 1 species